rnacentral:lncRNA from 1 species
UAGCAAUAUGUACACUUACAGCUACACCGUUAGUUCCCCGGUAACAACGCUAAAAUUUAAUCACGCUCAACUAUGCCUUAUAAAAGGACAAUGCAAUCGUUGAAAAUAUAAUUCUGUUUACAAAUCCGGAGUCAAAUCCCACAGAGAACUAAAUCUUAGCUAUAGUUGUUUAAUAUUAUCAAGAAGACAAGCUUGAACAAUUCCUAGCUAAUAGAUAUUAAAAUUCUUGUAUUUAACUAAUCAACUAAAAAUUAAAAUACUAAAUUAACAACUAAUAUUCUAGGGUUAGAUAAGAUUAAGGAGGUCUAGAGUUAUGAUUUUCCCUAUUGUCGAAAUCCUUUCCGCUAUGUCUUAUAUAAUUUUGCCUAAGUAUUCUCAACCAAUCAUAAGCACUCUUAUUACCAUAAAUAUCUCCAGAGUAAUUACGAUAAUUUACUAGACGCACUCUCUCGAGCUACGCUAGCUGGCUUUUAAUACAACUCACUUCAUAUCGCACCC